GUGAUUAAAGGGGCUGUGUGCUGGCUGCUGUUCCUGCUGAAAGAAAAAAGAGAAAAACAUAAAGAGGAUACAGAAUGACCACACUAAGCACUUUAAGCAAUAAACGUUUAUGCUUUUAAAAAUGGGAAAAAAUGACAUUUAAUAAGAGAAGAAAAUGAGAAUAUCAACCCCCAUAAAGCAAAUGGUGUGGAUCAGCACAGGCUCAGCUCUGCCUGAAGUGACUUGGGCUAUUCUGGUGACUUGAAAAUUCUUAUGUGAGGAGCCCUGAGUGGGAUUAUUUGCACCUAAAGCAAUUUCCAGAAUGUGAAUGGUGACCAGAACACACAGAGGCAGAAAAGCAAACGGGAAAUAGAUGGGAGAAAUCCUGCAGUGCUGGGAUGGGCAGAGCUCUGGUCACAUCAUUCACAGAAUAAAAAAGGCAGAAACUCUGAGUUCAGCCAUUCAGCAUAAGAAGUCGAUGGACAAUCUGAACUUGAGUGGAUCAAAAAGCAAUGAAAAUAUAACCAAAAUGGAACUACCUGCCCAAACACAUCAAGCGUGUAUCACAGCUAAAGAUGUCUGUAGCCCACUGAAGGCCCAUUUGAAGCACCGGAGGCUCUGCAUUUGGCUCCUUGGCAAUGCUGCAAUGGCAGCGAUGUGGCACUUCUGUGCUCAGGCUGCGUGGGGUCACUCAGGUCCUUAGGCUGCUGUAAUGUGGAGCACUGCAAAGUUUUUAAUUUCAUUGUUCUGAUCCUGAGGGACUGUGCUUUCCCUGAAGCCGGUUGGCAGUGUGAGGUGCCAAAACAGGAAGAGUAAUGAAAGGGUACUCAUCCUAUCUCACAUGUCAGGCAGAGGAGCGUGCAGCAGGAGGAGAUGAUGAUACCUCAGGAAAGGAAACAAC
ensembl:lncRNA